GAUAUUAUUUUGAUGUCGUGGUUCCACGAAUUUGGAGCUUCGUAUUAAAAUUAUUCCAAAAGUAUAAAAGCUUAUUUUUUUUAUUAAAAUAUGGAUGAAAAUAUAAAUUCAAUUUCAAAGGUACCUAUUCGAGUUCGUUAUUCGGAUGAGUGAAUAUUCAACACUCAUCAAGAACAAGAAUCCGACGAACGAUGAAAAUUUCACACCUAUACUCAUCUCAUCAUAUUAGUCAUCAGUUCAUCACAAACACCAGUUAAUCCAAAAUCAUUCAAUAUCUGCCAACUAGUCCAUUCCAAUAAAUAAUUCGAAGACCUUGCAAGCUCAACAUCGAUCAGAAAAAAGUUGCUGAAACUUUUACGUGGGGUUAAAAGACCUUCGAAAGAACUUACAAGAACCAUAAGGUGAAUACACGUUGCUCCUCGGAAAUCAACUCGUAGACAACUAAACAAACAUAUUUAUCGAGGUCCCUUUCAAGUACAGCAAAAUGGAUGGAGAACGUUUUUUUGGAGAAAAUUUUGGAAAAAAAUUGAAGAUCUCUGUUUCAAAGACCACGUACAGGAUUUCUAAACUCAAUUAUCUGGUACUUGAGGUUCCUUUUUUUCAAUUUCAGUUGUGGUCUUUCCAGUGACAAUUUCCAUGAUCUAAAGUGGUUCUUCAUGCGACGAAUUUGAAACAUUACAUGCUAUGAAGCCAAUUUACUCUCAACCAUUUAGAAUCCUGAAAUUUUGCCUGAAUAUCAUACUAACGCAACCCUUCUUGUUCAGAGCGCACAAAUUAUCCACAAAUCCGCCAAUAAACAAUAAUACAUAUAAUUAUGUAGGUAUAGGAAAGCGAUGUACGUCAGCAAUACCAAAAUCACUAUCAAAAGCAUCGGCACCGUAAUCGACCUGGUCGAGUCAUCCUGAAGAACUUCCGUAUUUGUAUUAUUAUUACCGCUGUCAGUAGCUCUAUUUUGAGAA